AACGAACGCUGGCGGCAUGCCUAACACAUGCAAGUCGAACGAAACCUUCGGGUCUAGUGGCGGACGGGUGCGUAACGCGUGGGAACUUGCCCUUAGGUUCGGAAUAACUCCCCGAAAGGUAUGCUAAUACCGGAUAAUGUCUUCGGACCAAAGAUUUAUCGCCUUUGGAUGGGCCCGCGUUGGAUUAGCUAGUUGGUGGGGUAAAAGCCUACCAAGGCGACGAUCCAUAGCUGGUCGGAGAGGAUGAUCAGCCACACUGGGACUGAGACACGGCCCAGACUCCUACGGGAGGCAGCAGUGGGGAAUAUUGGACAAGGGGCGAAAGCCUGAUCCAGCAAUGCCGCGUGAGUGAUGAAGGGCUUAGGGUUGUAAAGCUCUUUUACCCGGGAUGAUAAUGACAGUACCGGGAGAAUAAGCACCGGCUAACUACGUG
rnacentral:rRNA from 1 species